rnacentral:tRNA from 1 species
GCACCUAGUUUACACCUAGAAGAUUUCACAUAAAAUGACCGCUUUGA